GUGGAAUUUUAGAGCGUUAUAAUAUUCAUGAUGAAAACGUACAAUUUUGCGAAAUAAAAGACACUAUUUGUCAUUCUGUUUUAAAUGAACAUAUUUCCAAAUGGCAUGAAGAUUUAAACAGAAUUGCCGCUGUUAGAGGAAACGGACAAAACAAGCUACGAAUCUACAGACAGUUCAAAAACACUUUUGAGACUGAGUCAUACCUUAAAGUGAACAUGCCAACAUCGUACAGAAGUGCUUACGCCAAGUUUAGGUGUGGAGUAGCGCCAAUCCGCGUCGAGACCGGGAGAUACGAGAACCUAAGAUUGCUAGAACGAACUUGCUUUUGCUGUCCUGAUUCCAUUGAAAACGAAGAACAUGUACUUUUAUUUUGCCCACUGUAUGAUGAUAUUAGGGACAGUUGUUUUAAUACUUUAAAUAUUGAUGGUUUUGAUAAUUUUUCUAGUCAAGAUAAGCUAUCUGUGAUUCUAGGUGGUGUAAACAAUAUACGUUUGUGUGCCAAAACCUGCAGAGACAUUUUAGAUAGGAGACGUAGAUUUUUAUAUACAUGUAGAUAGUUUUGUAUU
rnacentral:lncRNA from 1 species